AUUGAACGCUGGCGGCAGGCCUAACACAUGCAAGUCGAACGAGUGGCGGACGGGUGAGUAAUAUCUGGGAAACUGCCUGAUGGAGGGGGAUAACUCAUGGAACCGGUCGCUAAUCCCGCAUACCAUCAGAUGUGCCCAGAUGGGAUUAGCUUGUGGGUGGGGUAACGGCUCACCAAGGCGACGAUCCCUAGCUGGUCUGAGAGGAUGACCAGCCACACUGGAACUGAGACACGGCCCAGACUCCUACGGGAGGCAGCGGUGGUGAAUAUUGCACAAUGGGCGCAAGCCUGAUGCAGCCAUGCCGCUUGUAUGAAGAAGGCCUUCGGGUUGUAAAGUACUUUCAGCGGGGAGGCGUUACCCGCAGAAGAAGCACCGGCUAACUCCGUGCCAGCAGCCGCGGUAAUUC
rnacentral:rRNA from 1 species